rnacentral:misc_RNA from 1 species
GCUACAAUAUCGCAGUUCACAAACUGUCAAAAAGGAAAAACUACAAUUAGAAAUAAAGUAGAAUCAAGAAGCCAAUAUGGGAAAUAUUUGCAAAGGAAAUUAAAUAAUAAAAUUCAACAAUUGAACAAGACGACUACAAUUUAGUUGGCAGUGAUCAAUCAAUUGAUGAGAGAGGGGGAUGCAAAAGAAGAUAUCUUUGACAUUUCAAAAUUAAAGAUUUUAGCAGUGAAUUGAUGCAUUUCAUGCACAAAUAGAAAACAAAUUAUAUAAAACAAAAGAUAUCAGACUAGCAGGAUUCAAACUAUGUCUAAACAUCCAGAGAUAGUCAACAAUUCCCCUCCUCCUGUUUGGUUGCUGAGAAAAGUAAAAUAAAAAAUAAAUUAAUUAAGCAACAUAGUCUGAUUCAAUUACUAGCAGGCCUCCGAUUCUUUCAUCUUCCACGCCACAAACACUCUCAUUACCAUUUUCUUUGCUUAAAAUUUAAUAGCACGCCUCCGAUUUCUCUCAUCUUCCACGCCACAAGCACUCUCAUUACCA